rnacentral:lncRNA from 1 species
GCCACAAGAGGUCUGCAGUGAAGGUCCCAAAGUCCCAGACAAGUCCCCUCUUGUUGCCCAGGCUGGAGUGCAGCAGCAUGAUUACAGCUCACAUCAGCCUCGACCUCCCGGGCUCAAGCUAUCCUCCUACCUCAGCCUCCCAAGUAGCUGGGACUAUAGGUUCAAGUGAUUCUCCUGCCUCAGCUUCCCAAGUAGCUGGGACUACAGGCGUGUGCCACCACGACCAGGAUCUUUCUGCUGAUGCAGCUGUUAAGAGUGUUUCAUAAACUGUGACAACACUAAGCAAAAUCAUAGAAGGAAACUCUAUGGACAAUUUCAGAUGGAGAAGAAGAAAGGACUGGAAGUUCAAUUUGGCCAUGACAAUUAGACUUGAAGAAGCUGAGUGAGAAGGCCAUGCAGAUAUCUUGGAGAAGUGCAUUCCAGGCAGAGGAAAAGCCAGUGCAGAGACACUGAAGCAGGGCAUGACUGAUGUGUAUAAGGAGCAUCAUAUACAUGAUCAUCUACAGUCCACUGAGGAGAAUAGCAGACGAGAGGCCAGGUGCAGUGCAUGUAAUCCCAGCACUUUGGGAGACUGAGAUGGGAAGAUCGCUUGAGGCCAGGAGUGCAAGACCAGCCUGGGCAACACAGCAAGACCUUGAUUCUACUAAAAAAAAAAAAGGAUCCUUCAACUUCAACAAUAAUAACACAAGGGAAGUGAAGAAAAACACUUUCUAAGGAAAUCUCUCUCUGAGCUACCAUCCUGCUAGGGAGAGCCUGAAAGCAGAAUGCUGACUUGACUAGCUCUGGUCAAUGAAAGAAAUCACCAGUGGAAAGGCUACCAGGGGGCUUUCUCAAAAGAGAG